CUACCAUACUAUACGGCCAUAUAUACGACCGGAUCUCGUACGCAUACGCCUCCCCUCUCCCUCCGCAAAGCCUUUCGCGCAAAACCUCUCGAGCUCUUUCAGCGGGAAUUGUUGUCUCUGCUGACGCGUCUCCCGCGUUUCGGCGGAUCGCUCCCCUGCGCUUCGAGUUCCGUAUGGUUUUUAUGGUACUGCCUAGGAGAUGAAGCGGCUGAGGUUCUGUCUGUCCCUGAUCCGUAACCAAAUCCAGUAGGAGAGGGAGGGAGAGAGAAGGGCUGGAGGGACGGACGGAGAAGAGAGUAAGAGCUCGAUCGGACAGAAGGCCAUGCAACAUCUGCCUCUGUGAUCCCAACUGGCACUUGUUGUGGUGGCAGUUGAUUUGGAAGAGGGAGGUGCCGACAUCUGGAAAGAAGAGUUGGUUAAUAACGGCGAAGGCUCCUAGAUGUGUUAGAACAUCUCAUGUGUUAAAUCUGUACACAUUACAAUUCCAGGUUUUGUGACUGACAUGGACUCGGCUAGAUAGUUAGAGAUAGAUUUAUUUCAUGUAACAAGCCGAGUCCUACUCUUCUACAACAACCUGCCCAAUGUAAUCCUGAUGCAUAUAAAUCAACACGUAGCCGUGGUCGGCCAGGCUAGGCAACCACGUUCUCUGAA